GGCGGGCGGGGGUGGGGGGAGCUUUGGCCGGCUCUUAGCUGCACGUCCCGGGGACCGGGAAGGACCUCCUGCACCGGGCUCCCCUACUCACCACCGCGGGAGGCGGAGGAGGAGGGGGCGGACGGCGGAGACGAUGUCGAUACCGGGGCGGAGGGCGGGAAGCGAGACGGGCUCCGCGUCCCUUCCUUCAGGCGGGGCGGCCACCGCCGCCGUCGCUUCCUUCAGGGGCGGCCGCCAUUUUGUGUGGCGCGGGCAGCGGGGCUGCCCCUCGUGAGGCGCGGAGCCCGCUCUGCUGAGCGCCUUAACCCUGGCUUUGCCCGCGGUGUUGCGGUGUCACCUUGUUGCAAAAAAUUUAGUAUAUCAAAAUUGCCAUAAACCAGGGUGUUCUUUGAUGUAGGAUCUUCGUGUGCUUUCGAGCCUAAAUCAGCGGAACAGGCAGCAGCCAGCAUCCCCUACUUAAGGACAUCCAGGAACUAACAAGCUACAAGGAUGCAGUAAAUCAAAGAUGAUGAUGUAUAUCUAUGCACACAUUGCUAACUUGGCAAAAUACAGUCCAUGUAUCCUACAGCUGAACUGUGUUCAUUAUAGUACUAAAAAUCACGCCUACAGGUCAAAAAGACCCCUGCCCAGGUCAAGACCCUUCUCCUGAGCAUGUGUAGAAGUUCACUGGGGUUAUGUUACUUGUAUGGAAAUUCCUAAUCAAUCAUAAUACAGGGGCUGUGCUUGGAAAGUUAGUAACUCCGAAUUUCUGCCUGUAAAUAAUAGUGUGAAAAGUCCAGUGGCCGUGCUUGAUUCAUGGAACACCACUGAGCACCCAGCCUUGUGCAGCUCUGAGAUAAAUAAUCAGCAUCUCUCUCUAGUGUGUCAUUACUGGCUUGUUGCACACCUGGUUAAAAAUCUGAUUUUGAGGGCAACAACCUCACAGCCCUGAGUCCUGACUGGUUAAGCAUCCGGAGCCAGAGUGAUGUACUGGGAUGUGUGGUAAUGGCAGGGCAGCCCAGGCUACACACAAGUCUUAGUGCUUUGCAUGUAAACAGAGGCCCUGUGGUUGUGAAAAGUAAAGAAACACAAAUCUUUGCCUUUCGCAGUCACGUCCUCUCUGUGAACACAGUGAAGUAUUGUUCAGUGUUUGUUGAGACUCAUUAGUCCAUCUCUUUUUAUCUGCAGAGCCCUCUGCUGUGACAGUUCUUAAGCAUUGACGUCCACUGCCUAUGAAAAUAUGUAGUGAACAGAUACUGGAGUCCAGGCCAGAAAGAAACUUCAUUUAAUGCUCCAAUCACAAAACCAGCUGAGCUGUAGCAGCAGAAAAGCACUUUGUCUAACCUAAGGCUUGUGUGUGUCCCAGCUGCCAAGAAAUAAAGAACUGAGAUGGAAACCCUCAUUAAUAUCCUUAUUAGACUUUGUAUUUGCUUGCUCUUCUCGUCUUCUUUAUCUAGAAUUCUCAGUUCCUAAGCCAAGCAUUAGGGCUUUCUACCAUUUCUUCUGUGGAGCAAAUGUCAUUUUUCCACCUUAGAGUCUCCACUUUAUAUCAAGUCUGCUGAAAACAUAUUGUUUUGUAUUAUUUCUUGGCAUAUUUCUUUUUCCUAUUACUUGUUUCUCCAACUGCAUUGUUUAACUGUCUGCAUAGAGGGUACAGGAGCUAUUUCAGCAUUCCUGACUCGCCUGAAUUCCUGUUAAACACAAUGGAUGUUUUGAGUGUGCAAGGACGGGGAUAAAAGUUGUGUUCUGCAUUCUGCUUUUCUAAAGUGGCAUCGCUUACAAUUAAAACUUCAAAGAGACAAGCAGCAAAUACAGCACAGAAAAAAAGACUGUGGUUCCCAUUUCUGAAGAAGACCAGAAAGCAAGUUUUCAAUCCUUAAGACUUCAUAAGACCUACUUAGAGGUCAUAAGUGAUUUCCCAAAUAAAGUUAAACAAUUAACACUUUA